CCGUGUUUUCUCUCGCUGUGCUGCACGUCGAACGAGUGGUUAUUGUAGCCGAAUAAAGACCCGGCUGCUCAGAGGAUGAGGCAUUUCAGUGGAUGAGUAAUGUACUACCGGCUGUUGAAAUGAUACAUAAUACACAUCGCAAUAUUCCGAAUGUACUCGAGUGCAAUCAGUGAUUUAUUGAUGGCUCGCUGCGUCCGGUUAAUCUGCUCUGUCGCCACAUCAAGCAAUUACGAACCUGCUACAGCCAAGACAACGCGAUAAUGUUAGUGGUGCUGCUCAUAUGAUUGGGGACAUUGUGACGGGUGUGAAGUCUGCAUUGGCUGAAGGGAGGCCAAUGGAACCGAUGGCUGACGACAGAUGGUGCAGGAAGAUAUCAGUUUUUGUCUGAGGUGCUUCGUUGGCGAGCAGAAACGACUCCUGAUUACGUACUCUUUACGUUGCUGAACGAAAGGGUGCUGUAGUGCAAACUAUGACCUGCGUGCAGUUCAUGAAGAAAGCAGAGAGAAUUGGAGCUGCUUGCUUGGAGAGAGCAAACCUGAGCUCAGGAGACCACAUAACUCUUCUUUAUCCUCCAGGUAUUGAGCUUGUUGUUGCUUUCUAUGGCUGCCUUCUUGUUGGUCUCGUUCCCGUUCCCGUGCAACCUCUAUCUCCAUUGAACAUCGCAACGACAUUACCAACAGUCAAAAUGAUCGUCGAAGUCAGCAAGUCAGUUGCCAUUCUAACAAUUCAACGUAUCACCAAAAUGUUAAGGACAAAAGAGGCUAUCAGCACACUCGACGUGAAGUCUCUCCCACCUAUUCUUGAGACAGAGGAUCCACAGAAGAGGAAGCUUGACAAGUUUUAUCGUGCACUAACACCAGAGAUGAUUGCAUACUUGGAUUUCAGUGUUUCAACCACCGGUGUGCUCUCAGGAGUCAAAAUGUCUCAUCCAGCUUGUGACCUAUCACGGCGACUCAGACGAGGAGGACGUGAACUUGAAGGCAGAAAUCAGUGACGACAGCGAACUGGACAAUUCCGAAGUCUUGAGGCCAGUGCUAGUUCGAUUCUCUUGUCUGGAAGUUUCAUGAAGUUCCAACGCAUUUCAAGCGCGUCGGCGUCAUUACUGAGGAAUGUUGUUGUAAGGACCCGGAUACAGGCAGCUCCCGUUGUGUCAUUGGUGUUACGCGUGGGAGGGCGAUGACUUGGACAGUGAGAAUGAAGAUGAAAUGGCGGGAAAAGUGUCCAACGACCAUCCCACAAGUCACAUUCUCUAUCCACUUCAAGAUGACUUCGAAGGUACAUCCCCAUUCAGUAGCGGCUCUCCCCUCCUCCCAGGGGCACCAACCACCAACAACCUGACAAAAUCUCACCGUCCACCUCGUGUCAACCUACCACCGGCUCCUUCCAGACAAUGCAAACCCGAGUUACAAUCCAAGAUAACUAAUUUAUUGAAAAAGCAAAGACAGAGAAACAUACAACUGAACGAGAGCAUACAGAAACAGAAAGACUUCCACAAUCCAAGUAUUUAUGAAAACUCGUCACUUUCCUUGGACUCGACGAGUUAGGCUUGAAUUUUGAGCAUCGCAUGUUUGACGAGACAAAUUGGGGUUGGGACUGUUAUUUUGAUGCUCUAGGACGCUUGCAGAAGGAGCAGUACGACAAGAAAGAGAAAGAGAAGACCAAGAGAACGCAAGUGGAUUUUGUGAGCGGAUCGGCAUUGAAACGGUCGGCGAUUGCUCCGGCUGUCGAGCUCGUUUGUCUGUCUGUAAGUUUGUUUGUCCGUCUGUCUGAACAUAUGCCUGAUGAUCACUACGUGGAUGGUGGACAAACAUCUCUAGACUCUAUACAAUAUAGAUUGGCUUUUGUGGUCUGUUAAACAGCCUUAGUUUGGACUGUAUAGAAAAAAUGUAUCCAAGUUAAGAUCCUCUUACAUUAGAUCUGCAAGACAAUCUCUCAUA